UUGAACGCUGGCGGCAUGCCUUACACAUGCAAGUCGAACGGUAGAGGGGCAACCCUUGAGAGUGGCGAACGGGUGAGUAAUGCAUCGGAACGUGCCCAGUCGUGGGGGAUAACGCAGCGAAAGCUGUGCUAAUACCGCAUGUGAUCUGUGGAUGAAAGCAGAGGACCGCAAGGCCUUGUGCGAUUGGAGCGGCCGAUGUCAGAUUAGCUAGUUGGUAGGGUAAAAGCCUACCAAGGCGACGAUCUGUAGCUG
rnacentral:rRNA from 1 species